rnacentral:tRNA from 1 species
GGAUAUAUCUCAGUUGGUAAAGGGCUUGCCUCACAUGCACAAGGCCCUGGGUUCAGUUCCCAGCACCA